UCCUCUCGGCUGAUCCCCGGCUGAUCCCCGUGGGUCUGUGAGGCAUCAGAACAGCCUUCAGCAGUGAGGGCGUGUCACACAGCGAGCUCUGCAUCCCCAAACACGGGAGGCUGUGAUUCGCGGAACAAAGUAGCUAAGGAGAAUUGGGGAGCUGAUGAAAUCAGAAAAGCAGUAUGAGGACUUCAGCUGAGAAAUGUGAAUCAUCGGAGAGGGAGGAUGGAGUCUGUGAAACCCCAGAGGGCUCAGCUGCAGGGAGCACAGCUGUGUUCACCAGGGGUGGCCUACUUGUUAUUGCAGCGGAGAAAAGCAUCAGAAGGGCUUUGAAGGCGUGGAGCAGCCUCGAAGUUCUCAAGUUCUUAUGAAACGUAGCAGCUCACUGGGAAGCCCAAGAGGAGGAAGUGGUGCAUUCUAGAGGAGCUCAUGGGGAUGCCGUGGGCUGCAGGUUCUUGCCCAGUUUGGUUCUGGGAUUCUGGAAGAACAGCAGCCACAUGGAGGUAAGUCCACCUGGUGGGUUAGCAGCGGCUA